rnacentral:tRNA from 1 species
GGGGGCGUGGCCUAAUCCGGUAUGGCGUCGGGCUCCAGACUCGCAGGUUCCGAGUUCAAAUCUCGGCGCCCCCA